AGUGAACGCUGGCGGUAGGCCUAACACAUGCAAGUCGAACGGCAGCACAGUAAGAGCUCGCUCUUACGGGUGGCGAGUGGCGGACGGGUGAGGAAUACAUCGGAAUCUACUUUUUCGUGGGGGAUAACGUAGGGAAACUUACGCUAAUACCGCAUACGACCUACGGGUGAAAGCAGGGGAUCUUCGGACCUUGCGCGAUUGAAUGAGCCGAUGUCGGAUUAGCUAGUUGGCGGGGUAAAGGCCCACCAAGGCGACGAUCCGUAGCUGGUCUGAGAGGAUGAUCAGCCACACUGGAACUGAGACACGGUCCAGACUCCUACGGGAGGCAGCAGUGGGGAAUAUUGGACAAUGGGCGCAAGCCUGAUCCAGCCAUACCGCGUGGGUGAAGAAGGCCUUCGGGUUGUAAAGCCCUUUUGUUGGGAAAGAAAAGCAGCAGGUUAAUACCCCGCUGUUCUGACGGUACCCAAAGAAUAGGCACCGGCUAACUUCGUG
rnacentral:rRNA from 1 species